rnacentral:rRNA from 1 species
CCCUUAGAUGUUCUGGGCCGCACGCGUGCUACACUGAGUAAUUCAAUGGGUAAGGGAACGCUAGAGCAUUACCUAAUCUUGAAAUUUGCUCGUGAUGGGGAUCGACGGUUGCAAUUUUCCUUCGUGAACGAGGAAUACCUUGUAGGCGCAUGUCAUCAUCAUGCGCCGAAUACGUCCCUGCCCUUUGUACACACCGCCCGUCGCUCCUACCGAUUGAGUGAUCCGGUGAGGCUCUGGGACCUGGACGGAAAGAGCGUUUCGCUUGUUCUGUUUGGGAAACUUGGUCGAACCUUAUCAUUUAGAGGAAGGAGAAGUCGUAACA